GCUAAAUUUCUCUUUCAUGCAGCAAGACACCCUGCAGCAGCCAUCCAACCCUUGCAGCACUCUAUCUGCCAGCCAGCCUCCCCAUACCACACACAGUGCUUUUAGACAACGUGCUGAGCAGGCAAAGCCUGGGAAUUCAGGGAUUAGUUUCUUGCUAAAGUUCAAGGGCAGCUCAGGGAAACACUCCCAGGUGAGAUCUGAUAUGGCAAAGCUGUGCCUGCUUAAAUAUGAGGAUUUAAAGGGGAAGAAAAGCUAGGGGGAGUGGUGUGAGAAGAGGAGAUGUGGAGUGUAAGCCUGCCUGUGUGUCGCCUUUCAAGUGAUUUCCCUUGCUGCUCUCGCUAACACGACUUUAUCCCUGCCGGAGAGGUGAGCCGGGGAUAUGUUGAAUACAAAAAGAGAGAGGAAGGGUAAUCAAACACCUGCUCCCACUAAAACAAAGCCUUUUCUCUUCACAGGCUGUUGAGCAUUGAUGGGGAGAGGUGAAGGCCUGCACCAGCCCUUGCCCGGCGCUGGGCCCAGCCAUUGGAGCAGGGCUGUAAAAGCAGAAAAAUGAGCGUGCAUUGUGCUUAGGCUGCAGUCAUUCUGCCUAAAUUGGGGAACAUUCUGCAAAUAUUUCAAGUCAAAUACUACUGGUGCUGUCACUGCUGCCUCUCAGUCACUGGGCUACAGCAGCCAUAGGUUGGUCUCGUUGACUCCAGCUGGGCAGCCUCCCGUUUGGACAAGCAAGACUACCAAAAGACUGAAAAUUGGCCCUGUGAAUAAGCUCAUGGCCACAUACAGGAGUGGGGAGCUCUGCCUGUCUGCCUCCUGGCUGCAGAAGCAUUGCAAAUCUGCUCACAGUACAACCAUCUUCUGAUCGAGUAACAGCAGAUGUGCCAUAAUCUACAAGAGCAUGGAUGGGUGGAUGGAUGGAUGGGCAGUGGCUGUACUGCCAGCCUUCUCCCAGAACAUUCUGUUUUCCUCUUGGUUCUCACGUGGCAUUGUGGCAGUCACAGCUUCCAAACAAGACCAUGGGCAUUUCUUGCUCUCCGGAAGGACUCAUCUCAUGCAGAAUUCUCCAUGUGGGAGGGUCAUUUCUCUGGCUAUGAGCAGGAGCAUCUGGCCCUCUGGCCAUUGCCUUCAUCAGGCCCACAGCUUGGAAGAAGAAUUUUCUCCAUAUCAGUUGUUAGGACCAGCUGCUCCACAAAUAAGAUUAUAGAUCAUAUGGAGCACAGUGGCAUCAGCUCUCUCCCAUAUCAGAAACAUAAAAAUCCCAUCUGA
rnacentral:lncRNA from 1 species